rnacentral:rRNA from 1 species
AAUGAACGUUGGCGGCGUGGAUUAGGCAUGCAAGUCGUACGCUUUAUGUAGCAAUACAUGAAGAGUGGCGUAAGGGAGAGUAAUGCAUGGUUAGCUACCCUCGGGACUGGGAUAGCGGCGGGAAACUGCCGGUAAUACCAGAUGACAUCUUCGGAUCAAACGUGUAAAUCGGCCCGAGGAGGUGACCAUGUCCUAUCAGCUAGUUGGCGGUGUAACGGUCCACCAAGGCUAAGACGGGUAUGGGGCGUGAGAGCGUGCCCCCACUCACUGGGACUGAGACACUGCCCGGACACCUACGGGUGGCUGCAGUCGAGGAUCUUCGGCAAUGGGCGCAAGCCUGACCGAGCGACGCCGCGUGCGGGAUGAAGGCCUUCGGGUUGUAAACCGCUGUCGUAGGGGAGGAAGGCUCCGUGCAGAACGGAGUUUGACCGAUCCUAGGAGGAAGGGCCGGCUAAUCUCGUGCCAGCAGCCGCCGUAACAC